UUAAGCGACUAAGCGUACACGGUGGAUGCCCUGGCAGUCAGAGGCGAUGAAGGACGUGCUAAUCUGCGAUAAGCGUCGGUGAGGUGAUAUGAACCGUUAUAACCGGCGAUUUCCGAAUGGGGAAACCCAGUGUGUUUCGACACACUAUCAUUAACUGAAUCCAUAGGUUAAUGAGGCGAACCGGGGGAACUGAAACAUCUAAGUACCCCGAGGAAAAGAAAUCAACCGAGAUUCCCCCAGUAGCGGCGAGCGAACGGGGAGGAGCCCAGAGCCUGAAUCAGUGUGUGUGUUAGUGGAAGCGUCUGGAAAGGCGUGCGAUACAGGGUGACAGCCCCGUACACAAAAAUGCACAUAUUGUGAGCUCGAUGAGUAGGGCGGGACACGUGGUAUCCUGUCUGAAUAUGGGGGGACCAUCCUCCAAGGCUAAAUACUCCUGACUGACCGAUAGUGAACCAGUACCGUGAGGGAAAGGCGAAAAGAACCCCGGCGAGGGGAGUGAAAAAGAACCUGAAACCGUGUACGUACAAGCAGUGGGAGCCUCUUAAUGGGGUGACUGCGUACCUUUUGUAUAAUGGGUCAGCGACUUAUAUUCUGUAGCAAGGUUAACCGAAUAGGGGAGCCGAAGGGAAACCGAGUCUUAACUGGGCGUUAAGUUGCAGGGUAUAGACCCGAAACCCGGUGAUCUAGCCAUGGGCAGGUUGAAGGUUGGGUAACACUAACUGGAGGACCGAACCGACUAAUGUUGAAAAAUUAGCGGAUGACUUGUGGCUGGGGGUGAAAGGCCAAUCAAACCGGGAGAUAGCUGGUUCUCCCCGAAAGCUAUUUAGGUAGCGCCUCGUGAAUUCAUCUCCGGGGGUAGAGCACUGUUUCGGCAAGGGGGUCAUCCCGACUUACCAACCCGAUGCAAACUGCGAAUACCGGAGAAUGUUAUCACGGGAGACACACGGCGGGUGCUAACGUCCGUCGUGAAGAGGGAAACAACCCAGACCGCCAGCUAAGGUCCCAAAGUCAUGGUUAAGUGGGAAACGAUGUGGGAAGGCCCAGACAGCUAGGAUGUUGGCUUAGAAGCAGCCAUCAUUUAAAGAAAGCGUAAUAGCUCACUGGUCGAGUCGGCCUGCGCGGAAGAUGUAACGGGGCUAAACCAUGCACCGAAGCUGCGGCAGCGACACUAUGUGUUGUUGGGUAGGGGAGCGUUCUGUAAGCCUGUGAAGGUGGCCUGUGAGGGUUGCUGGAGGUAUCAGAAGUGCGAAUGCUGACAUAAGUAACGAUAAAGCGGGUGAAAAGCCCGCUCGCCGGAAGACCAAGGGUUCCUGUCCAACGUUAAUCGGGGCAGGGUGAGUCGACCCCUAAGGCGAGGCCGAAAGGCGUAGUCGAUGGGAAACAGGUUAAUAUUCCUGUACUUGGUGUUACUGCGAAGGGGGGACGGAGAAGGCUAUGUUGGCCGGGCGACGGUUGUCCCGGUUUAAGCGUGUAGGCUGGUUUUCCAGGCAAAUCCGGAAAACCAAGGCUGAGGCGUGAUGACGAGGCACUACGGUGCUGAAGCGACAAAUGCCCUGCUUCCAGGAAAAGCCUCUAAGCAUCAGGUAACAUCAAAUCGUACCCCAAACCGACACAGGUGGUCAGGUAGAGAAUACCAAGGCGCUUGAGAGAACUCGGGUGAAGGAACUAGGCAAAAUGGUGCCGUAACUUCGGGAGAAGGCACGCUGAUAUGUAGGUGAAGCGACUUGCUCGUGGAGCUGAAAUCAGUCGAAGAUACCAGCUGGCUGCAACUGUUUAUUAAAAACACAGCACUGUGCAAACACGAAAGUGGACGUAUACGGUGUGACGCCUGCCCGGUGCCGGAAGGUUAAUUGAUGGGGUUAGCGGUAACGCGAAGCUCUUGAUCGAAGCCCCGGUAAACGGCGGCCGUAACUAUAACGGUCCUAAGGUAGCGAAAUUCCUUGUCGGGUAAGUUCCGACCUGCACGAAUGGCGUAAUGAUGGCCAGGCUGUCUCCACCCGAGACUCAGUGAAAUUGAACUCGCUGUGAAGAUGCAGUGUACCCGCGGCAAGACGGAAAGACCCCGUGAACCUUUACUAUAGCUUGACACUGAACAUUGAGCCUUGAUGUGUAGGAUAGGUGGGAGGCUUUGAAGUGUGGACGCCAGUCUGCAUGGAGCCGACCUUGAAAUACCACCCUUUAAUGUUUGAUGUUCUAACGUUGGCCCGUAAUCCGGGUUGCGGACAGUGUCUGGUGGGUAGUUUGACUGGGGCGGUCUCCUCCUAAAGAGUAACGGAGGAGCACGAAGGUUGGCUAAUCCUGGUCGGACAUCAGGAGGUUAGUGCAAUGGCAUAAGCCAGCUUGACUGCGAGCGUGACGGCGCGAGCAGGUGCGAAAGCAGGUCAUAGUGAUCCGGUGGUUCUGAAUGGAAGGGCCAUCGCUCAACGGAUAAAAGGUACUCCGGGGAUAACAGGCUGAUACCGCCCAAGAGUUCAUAUCGACGGCGGUGUUUGGCACCUCGAUGUCGGCUCAUCACAUCCUGGGGCUGAAGUAGGUCCCAAGGGUAUGGCUGUUCGCCAUUUAAAGUGGUACGCGAGCUGGGUUUAGAACGUCGUGAGACAGUUCGGUCCCUAUCUGCCGUGGGCGCUGGAGAACUGAGGGGGGCUGCUCCUAGUACGAGAGGACCGGAGUGGACGCAUCACUGGUGUUCGGGUUGUCAUGCCAAUGGCACUGCCCGGUAGCUAAAUGCGGAAGAGAUAAGUGCUGAAAGCAUCUAAGCACGAAACUUGCCCCGAGAUGAGUUCUCCCUGACUCCUUGAGAGUCCUGAAGGAACGUUGAAGACGACGACGUUGAUAGGCCGGGUGUGUAAGCGCAGCGAUGCGUUGAGCUAACCGGUACUAAUGAACCGUGAGGCUUAAC
rnacentral:rRNA from 2 species